rnacentral:rRNA from 2 species
UACGUAGGUGACAAGCGUUGUCCGGAUUUACUGGGUGUAAAGGGCGUGUAGGCGGGAUAGCAAGUCAGUCGUGAAAUACCGAGGCUCAACCUCGGGGCUGCGAUUGAAACUGUUAUUCUUGAGUAUCGGAGAGGAAAGCGGAAUUCCCAGUGUAGCGGUGAAAUGCGUAGAUAUUGGGAGGAACACCAGUGGCGAAGGCGGCUUUCUGGACGACAACUGACGCUGAGGCGCGAAAGUGUGGGGAGCAAACAGG